rnacentral:rRNA from 1 species
UACAGAGGUCUCAAGCGUUGUUCGGAUUCAUUGGGCGUAAAGGGUGCGUAGGUGGCGCCAUAAGUCGGGUGUGAAAUCUCGGGGCUUAACUCCGAAACUGCAUUCGAUACUGUGGUGCUUGAGGACUGGAGAGGAGACUGGAAUUCAUGGUGUAGCAGUGAAAUGCGUAGAGACCAUGAGGAAGACCAGUGGCGAAGGCGGGUCUCUGGACAGUUCCUGACACUGAGGCACGAAGGCCAGGGGAGCAAACGGG